ensembl:lncRNA
GUAGGGGAGGCCUUCCUUCCCACCUCUUCAGUUGGACCCAGAGUGGGGGGAGGUGCCCCAGAGAAUAGCCUGAGCACUACCAGCCUUAGAGGCUGCGGUGUCCAGACGAGGUCCUCAGAGCUCCUGUGGGCAGCCGCUGAUAGCCACGGUGGGAAGACAGGGAUAGCACCUGGCCCUAGGCAGGAGACAGAAGUGCCCCACCAGCGAACAGCCUGUUUUCACAGAGUCCUGGGAAGUCCAUGUUCCCCCCAAGUCAGGAGACAGGCAUGGGCCGGGUGGCAUAGGGUGAGCCCACCCAAAGCCCAGGCCACUCCCAAGCACCACUUGGGGACGCUAAGCCGUGUUCUGUCAGACUUGGUGGACUUUGGGUCAGGACCAGCAACAGGUCCACUCCCUUUAGAAAGUGAGGGUAGCCAGGCUCCUGGAGGGUUCCCGAGUUGGAGUUGGCUAUGGCGGGACCCAGCACUUUCCCGGAGCUGGUGUCUUAGGAGCAGACAGGAGGACAGGCAGCCUCAACCCCAGACUGCAGAGGGCAUUCUCCCCCCUGCCCCAGGACAGGGCGGGCCAAGACUGGACGAGCGCUGUCCCGUGUCCAGCCCGGUUGUAGGAACCAUCAGCACCGUCAGUCAGCCCAUACUUCCGAUGGGAGGUCCAGAACGACACCCUGGCACGUCUUCAGAGGACCUGGCCCUGGCAGGGCCCCGCGGACAAAGGCAUCACGGAGCUCCGUGGUGGCCUGUGCCUGGUCCGGGGGCGAUGUGGGUUUGCGCUUUCCUGGUGCGAGGCUCCCACGCCCUCCAGCGAGCACGGGGCACGCGUACCCCCGGGAAAGGAACCCUGAGUGCUGCCCACCGGCCGGCUCACCCCACAGCGGCUCCAGCAGGCUCCCCUCGGGCCGGGGAGCUCCGUGACGAUGUACACGGGGUCCCCCACGGAAGCCACGGCGUACAGCACCAGGAUGUGCUUGUGUCGUAGCUGCUCCAUGGCCUGGAUCUCCAACUGGAAUGUGCGCCGCAGGAGAUCAUCUGCGGGCAGGUGGCCUCGGUGGGUGCGGCCCCAGACGCGCUUCCCUCACCCGCCCGCGCACAGCAGCUGCCCGGGAUGCCCCGGUGCCACAGGAAGGGGUCACGGUGCCCACCACCUGCUCUCANUGACACCAGGCAGCUCCCUAAAGGGCCACGGUUCGUGGACGCGGUCGUGCACUGGUGGGCGCACCGUCCUUAAGAGCGUCUGAUGCCAGGGGACUUGGCCGCAGUGAUCAGACUCGACGUGGAAAAUGUCACGUUCAGUGUUCCAAAUGUCGCCAUGUAAAAACCGGCCCCAGGCACACGCGCGCACACGCGGGACGUCACGCUCCCUGAGCAGCUCUGACACCAGGGGGCGUCUGCGCUCCGUGGUGGCCCCCCGCCGCCACGUUGGCAGCGAUGGUUUGGUUUGGGUGUUAAAGGAAGUGAUAGGCCCUCGGACGGGUGACGGGGUCUGUGAGUCCGAGAGAUCCAUCGUGCGUGUUUACUGUGCGUGUAGGAGGGGUGUGCACACGUGUGUAAGUGUUCAUGCACAUCCAAACACCGCAAGAAGGGCCAGCACCUUCCAGAAAGAAAAGCAGAGCCAGGCCUGCGUGUUCCAGAAGCUGGGGAGGUGGGCGAGCCUCGCCUGGUGUUGGAAUAAAAUGGCCUCAGUUAACCAGAUGUAGGAAUUACGGCUUUUCUUGUCCUAUUUGUACUUCUCUGUAUUUUCUCUAAUUCCCACAGUGAAUAGACGGUACGUUUACCACAAGGCAUUUUCAAUCCUUUCUCAGGCAGGGCCCCGCGGACAAAGGCAUCACGGAGCUCCGUGGUGGCCUGUGCCUGGUCCGGGGGCGAUGUGGGUUUGCGCUUUCCUGGUGCGAGGCUCCCACGCCCUCCAGCGAGCACGGGGCACGCGUACCCCCGGGAAAGGAACCCUGAGUGCUGCCCACCGGCCGGCUCACCCCACAGCGGCUCCAGCAGGCUCCCCUCGGGCCGGGGAGCUCCGUGACGAUGUACACGGGGUCCCCCACGGAAGCCACGGCGUACAGCACCAGGAUGUGCUUGUGUCGUAGCUGCUCCAUGGCCUGGAUCUCCAACUGGAAUGUGCGCCGCAGGAGAUCAUCUGCGGGCAGGUGGCCUCGGUGGGUGCGGCCCCAGACGCGCUUCCCUCACCCGCCCGCGCACAGCAGCUGCCCGGGAUGCCCCGGUGCCACAGGAAGGGGUCACGGUGCCCACCACCUGCUCUCACUGCACGCCAGGCACCACGACUGCCAACGCCUGCCCAAGCCUGGUGUGAAGGAGAACGCCCCCAAUUGUGUUCCCAUGAGCCCCCGAUUCCUGAAGUGGGGGAUCCAGACCCCUAGUGGGUUUAGAGGUUGUAGAUGAACCUUUUCGAAUUUCUAGUGAUCUGUUUACUUUAAUGGCUUUCCAUUUACAUUAAGAAUUUAAAAUUCCCGGGGCGCCUGGGGGGCGCAGUUGUCAGGUAUCUGCCUUCGGUUCAGGGCGUGAUCCCAGAGUCCUGGGAUCGAGCCCCGCAUCAGGCUCCUCCGCUGGGAGCCUGCUUCUUCCUCUCCCACUCCCCCUGCUUGUGUUCCCUCUCUCGCUGGCUGUCUGUCUCUGUCAAAUAAAUAAAAUCUUUAAAAAAAAAAAAAGUUUAAAAAAAANCCUCUCCCACUCCCCCUGCUUGUGUUCCCUCUCUCGCUGGCUGUCUGUCUCUGUCAAAUAAAUAAAAUCUUUAAAAAAAAAAGUUUAAAAAAAAAGAAUUUAAAAUUCCCAUUUUAAAUAAAUGCAUUUAGGUGAAAACAGACAUUGAAAGGGAAACGCCCCUGGAUGCUGUUGUAGACACCCACGGGGCACACUGGGCCAGCAGGUAGCUCGCUGCCCCGGCCCCCUCAGGCAAGGCCUAGAGUCGUCACUGAGUCCCUGGCGCCCACUCACCUCGAGCAAUCACCUUAAUAGCCACUCGGACCCGGUCUUUCCAGAGCCCUUCGAAGACCUCCCCAAAGUACCCAGACCCCAGCUUCCUGCAGAGCGUGAACUCCUCCCGCGGUCUCUCCCAGUCAUCACAGUGAGGCAGGGGCUUGGGCUCAUGCUGGAGGGACAAGCAGGGACAUGGGGUUCAGGAAUUCCCCACUCUGACCCCAGGACCCGGAGCCCCUGCUCUGUCCUCAAAUGUAGGACGUUCUUCUUGGUGAGGUCCCAGCGCCCAGCAUGUGGCCGGGCUGUCCAGGAGCUGCCCCCACCACGGCCGCCCCCUGCAGUACCCUGCAAACACCCUCACCGCCCGCCGUAGGCCGGGCACGGUGGCUCAGUGCCGCUCAGACAGAACUCCUGGCCAGCCGCUGGCUGGGGCACAUGGCCCUCGUCCCCAGGCUCCCACCAGCCCAGAGGGAUGCAGGACAUGGCAGGAGCAUAGCUGACCUCUCCCUGAUCCAGGGGCGAGAGCGACCUGGCAAAGGAAGGGACGUCCCACCCCACCGCACCCAGGUCUGUAGGACCACAACUCCCAGGACAGCGAGGGUUCCCGGGGCCAGGUCUCCCCAAGCCCCCUCCAGCCAGUCAGCGCGUCAGGACCCACACCCACCCUGUGUGCCGUGGAGGAGAGGGAGCCACGGGGGGCAGCAGGGUGCCAGCGGCCCUACCUUCUGGCAGGGCACGGUCAGCUGCAGGCCAUGGGACAGGCUCUGGGCUUUGUGAUGUUCCAGGAGCUCGGACAGACUGGGGAAGGAAGAACGCAGCCUCACGGAGGUGCAGCCAGAUCCUGUAAUGCCGCAUGGCCUGCCUGUCCCACACUGUGGGGGUGAGGCCCAGCCCGGUGGACAUGUGCUCGCAGUCCCAGACCCUCCCUUCAGCCCUCAGAGGGGCGCUUGCGGGCCAGGCAUCCCGCCCCGGGGCACAUCUCCCAGCCAAGUAAAAAAACCCAGACCCAGUGGGACCCUGGGGACAAGCGGCCC